AACGAACGCUGGCGGCAUGCCUAACACAUGCAAGUCGAACGAGACCUUCGGGUCUAGUGGCGCACGGGUGCGUAACGCGUGGGAACCUGCCCUUAGGUUCGGAAUAACUCCCCGAAAUGGGUGCUAAUACCGGAUAAUGUCUUCGGACCAAAGAUUUAUCGCCUUUGGAUGGGCCCGCGUUGGAUUAGCUAGUUGGUAGGGUAAAAGCCUACCAAGGCGACGAUCCAUAGCUGGUCUGAGAGGAUGAUCAGCCACACUCGGACUGAGACACGGCCCAGACUCCUACGGGAGGCAGCAGUGGGGAAUAUUGGACAAUGGGCGAAAGCCUGAUCCAGCAAUGCCGCGUGAGUGAUGAAGGCCUGAGGGUUGUAAAGCUCUUUUACCCGGGAUGAUAAUGACAGUACCGGGAGAAUAAGCACCGGCUAACUCCGUG
rnacentral:rRNA from 1 species